UUUAUUCAAGGCUCAGAACGAAACGCCGGCGGCGUGCUUAACACAUGCAAGUCGAACGGUAAGGCGCUUUCGGGCGUACACGAGCGGCGAACGGGUGAGUAACACGUGAGGAACGUCGCCCUCGACUUUGGUAUAGCACUUGGAAACAGGUGGUAAUCCCGAAUAUUCGGUUUCCCGGGCAUCCGGGUUGUUGGAAAGCUUUUUGCGGUCAGGGAUCGUCUCGCGGCCUAUCAGCUUGUUGGUGGGGUAGUGGCCCACCAAGGCCUUGACGGGUAGCCGGCCUGAGAGGGCGACCGGCCACAUUGGGACUGAGAUACGGCCCAGACUCCUACGGGAGGCAGCAGUGGGGAAUAUUGCACAAUGGGCGGAAGCCUGAUGCAGCAACGCCGCGUGCGGGAUGACGGCCUUCGGGUUGUAAACCGCUUUCACCCAUGACGAAGCGCGAGUGACGGUAGUGGGGGAAGAAGCACCGGCCCAACUACGUGCCAGCAGCCGCGGUGAUACGUAGGGUGCGAGCGUUGUCCCGAGAUUAUUAUGGGUGAAAAGGAGUCUUAGAGGGGGGAUCAACGCUGCUACAUUAGAAAAUCCCGGGGGCCCACCCUUUGGGUCUUUUUGUAUACUCGGGGGUUAAUUGGGAGAGAUUGGGGGAAAAAAGAAUCCCCCGUGGGGGCGUGGGGAAAGGCGCAAAUAUUAGGGAAAGAACCCCGGGGGGGAGAGGGUGUUUUUGUGCCCCUUUCCUAGAGUUGAGAAGGAAAGAGGUGGGGGAGAAACAGGGGUUAUAACCCCGUGUUUCCCCCCGCGUAAACGCGGGGGGUAAUGGGGGGGGGGUCCAUUUCCCGGGGACCCGGCCCCGGGCCAACGCUUUAGAUUCCCCCGCCUGGGGGGUUGCGCCCGCAAGGUAAAAAACUAAAAGGAAUGACGGGGGCCCGCCCCAAGGGGCCGGGGCUUGGGAUUAAUUUGGAUGCACCGGGAGGAACCUUACCGUGGUUUUGACAUGUAACGGGAAGCGCUCAGAGAUUGGCGUCCUUUUUCGGCCCGUUCACCAGGUGUGCCAUGGCUGUCGUCAGCUCGGGUCUGGAGAUGUUGGGUUAGGUCCCGCACCGAGCGCAACCUUCGUACAAUGUUGCCAGCAGUUCGGCUGGGGACUCGUUGGAGACCGCCGGGGUCAACUCGGAGGAAGGUGGGGAUGAGGUCAAGUCAUCAUGCCCCUCAUGUCCAGGGCCUCACGCAUGCUACAAUGGCCGGUACAAAGAGUUGCGAGCCUGUGAGGGUGAGCGAAUCUCGGAAAGCCGGUCUCAGUUCGGAUUGGGGUCUGCAACUCGACCCCAUGAAGUCGGAGUCGCUAGUAAUCGCAGAUCAGCAACGCUGCGGUGAAUACGUUCCCGGGGCUUGCACACACCGCCC
rnacentral:rRNA from 1 species